rnacentral:lncRNA from 1 species
AGCCCGCUUGGAACUCCCGCAGUGCACAGACACGGAUCUCUGGGUUCCUGGCUACUAACUGCAUGCACGGCCCCCUGGCCAGACCCGAGGUUCCAAAGACUGGGCAAGGAAGCUCCUAGCGCGGCACGAAGUUGUGCCCGUUACCCCUCUGGGCCCCAGGCCGGCGGGCGCAGAAAUUAACUCGGCCAGAAAAUGAAGUUCAGAGAAGUGAAAUGACCCACAAGGUCACAGAUCUAGGAAGGGUCAGACUUUGAUUCCACAAGCUCUGCUUUUUCCACGGUUCCACACAGUUACCAUGGCUUCACACAUGCAAAAGCGCCAUCCUGCCACCUUCCUAUCAGGCACAGAUGAGCCCUCCACUGCGUGAAGGUUUCCAGUUUCCUUAGAUCCCUAGAGCAACCUGCCUUGAAGUCUUAGGACAGCAUGCUUUUAUUCAGUGUUUUUGCAGGAACACUUUCUUUGUCCAUAAACAAAGCCUUGAUAACCAAGAGAGUAGCACAGUAUUCUCCAUUGAGCUUUACCAUCCUAAAUUCCUAGGGGAAAAUGCCUCAAACAACGUCCCAGACUUCUCCCCACAGAGAUUCUUUUUACCCUGGUGAAGGCCUGGGAUUUUGCAUUACUCAUCCUAGUGGCCCAGGGCUGGGAGAUAUCGAUUUAACAUAUUAAAAGUGGUCAACUGUGAAUGAUGUGCCCUAUAAUUGUGGGUACCCUGAGUACUAUUUUUUCCGAAAACACAAACUAAAAGAGCUACCCUAGGUUCUUGGCUUCCUGAUUAUUUGUAAAAGAAUCAAGCUUCAGAGGAAAGGAUCUUCUCAACUUCAUUUUAGCACUUUUUCCAUAAGAAGACGUGGCCUGGGACAUCUGUAGUGCCUUUGGCAGACUCAUGCUUGCCCUUCUCUUGGAGAGGAACGGCUAGACCCUACAGUGACUUUAUGUUUAACCAUUUGAGGAACUCCCAGACUGUCUUCCGCAGUGGCUGCACCAUUUUAAAAUCCUACCACCAACAGUUUCAGUUGUCAGGCUGGCUUGGUGUUCGCCUACAGAGGUACCAAACAGUACGACUUUCAUCGUUAGAAGAAAAAGAAACUUGGGGGCGAGCAGCCGCCGCUGUACCCACAAUUCCUGCACCAAGACCACGUCCUGUGAGAAGCAGCUCAGACCCUGUGCAUUCGCAUUACAGUAAGUCACACACUACACACUCGGGAGAGAAGCAAGUGUCACCUACAUCCAAUGUUUAAUAGCCUGAUUUCAAAGCUUGGCCUGCCAUUUAUGUGUGUGACCUUGGGCAGUCGCUCGGAGCCUCCUGUCUAAAGCACGUCAUAACAGUGCCAGCAGCCAGUGGUCUGGUGGCUGUGGGCAGUGCAGUGGUGGACCCCUUAGCAGUAAUUUGAUGCGCUUACACUGACCCCAGGGUUGACCCUGGCAGAGUUCACACGAAACCUUUAACUAAACUUGGUACGUUUUCGCUCCAUUCUAUGGUACCCACCCCGCAGACGGGAACCUGGUUGACAGAGGUAAAUGCACAGCUGGAGGAUGAACUGCCCCCCCACCCAGUGCCAUUGCCAGGAAGGUGGUCUGUGACAGGGCUGGUUAACGUGUCAGUAGAGGCUCUUGGAGGGCACAGUGUGGCUAUCUUCCUUCCGUCCACUCCACUGCGGAGGGCUGAGAGGGCUCAGCAAUGCCGGGGACACUUGGGACUUAGAAGUAGAUUCCAGAUCUGUUUUAAGAUAACACUAAUCAGUGCCCUCCUUUGAUUACUGUUUCGUUUAUCUCGCCAAAAUAAAAUAACCUGGCUAAAGACAUGUAUUUAAGUACCUGCUCCUAUAUACUAAAUAAUAACAAUGAAAAAACCUACACUUCAAGACGAAAGAGAAAAGGCGUGUUCUGAAAGCGCAGAUUACUCAGGAGAGCAGCGGUACCUGUGAGCUGCUGAGCAUCAGCAGUAAGGAGAUGCAGUCCCAGCAUCUCAGCAGGCUCCCGGCAUCUUCGCUCUCUCUCAGAAGGCUGUACAGGGAAGGACCUGGAGAGUACCACAUGCGCUAGGCAUGCUGGAUUGAGGAGUUUGGAAGAAGAAAGGCAGAAAAUGCCGGAUUCUCCAAGAACAGCAAUUCCGCUGCGUCCAGGGGUCCCGUUGCCCAUCAGGCAUCAGUGAAGGGAAGACCAGCCGGAUGGCGUGUUCUCCUUGCCGAUGUUGUCUGAAAUAGUGGAAAUAAGUGCACCUCUGCUCUCCCCGCAGAAGGAAGGGGAGUGGGGUGGAGCCUCCUGUCCCUGGAAGCAGAGACGCAACCCACGCGACCCCAAGGAAGAAGCCCUCCGGGCCAUGUCUGUGACGUAAAACACGGGAUGUUGUCCCCAGUGCAAACAUGCUAGAAACACACCCCGUGGGGAGCUGUGCUACAGUGAGGUGCACCUGCCACCUCAUCCUGGUGUUCACAGUGUUUGGUGGCUUUCAGCCAAGAUGCCCUUAACUAGGAGCAGCCCUGGAAUCUGGCAUCUCCACAUCCACCCCAGAAGGAUGGCCUUUCUACCAUUCUGUGACAGGCUUUCUCUAAAAUAAGCAUCAAGUAAGCCCCGCCCCAAACCAGCCAUAUUGCCCUAUUCCACCGGCGUGAUAAUGAAUUGGCCCAAACAGACCUUCUCCCAACAAUCCAUUAUCACGCCGGUGGAAGACCUUCUCCUUACUCCCAGAGUAGGUCUGAGGAAUGUUUAAAGGUCCAAGAGACACAGACUGUCUGUCAGAUUUUGGCACAAGUGGUGACAGCGCAGGUCAGUAGGGACGAAAGAGUCACUAAAACUGAGAGAUGACAGGGCUAGAGACACUGUUUAAAACCACCACAGGCAGGGAGGGAGGGAGAGGGGAUGGUGGGUGGGGGCCAAGUCCCCCAAGGAAGCGGGUGGUCAGAGGGCCUGCACCCCACCCCAUAGGAGAUGAUAAUGUGGGGGGCUGUGCAGGGGAAGGCCUGCCAGGAGAAGGGGUGUCACCCAGAGCCCGCUGAGUGCAGGGCUUUCUCUCUGCUGACUUGCUCUAAGGCAGCCCAGGUAGAGCUAGUCCCGCCCAGGGUACCAAGCACAGCCAGGAAUAAACCAGAAAUCUGGAAGCCUGGCCUACCUCUGCCAGAAAUCUCAUAGCGGGCAACCUGAAAGCUCAGGAACAGUGCUUUCCUUCCAGUUAGUCUGUAAAUGGUGCCCUUUACAAGUGCCCUUUGAUGUGAUCUGUGGACAUUACAAGCGGGUUGAUGUCCUGGCCUUCCCAGCUUUGUUCUCUGCAGCUCACCUGUAUAGGCUCACUGGUUCAGCUCAAACACCCAGGAAGAUGGGCCCUUCUCUCUACUCAAGCCUGUGAAAUCAGGCCUUUAAGUAUAUUUGAAUUUUGAUAUUUAUGACAACAGUAUAAGCUUAUGAUUAUGAGAGGAAAACCAGUGUGAUUGUCACUGAGCAAUUCAGUAAAAUGAUUCUUUUUUUGGCCACAACCACGGCACGCAAAAAUUCUGGGUCUUGGAUCGAACCUUUGCCACAGCAGUGACAACACCCAAUCCUUAACUGCUAGGCCACCAGAGAACUCCCAAUAGAACAACUCCAGAUGUGAAAAGCGUUCCCAACUGACAAGGAGCAGGGCCACUUAGAAAAGGAGAAAAAUGCUCACAGUCCCCAAAUCAGUUCUGUAUAUAGGCUGUGUUUUACUUUUAACAAUAUACCAGGAGUUCCUCCUGUGGUUCAGCAGUAACAAGCCCAACUGGGAUCCAUGAGGACUUGGGUUCAAUCCCUGGACUCGCUCAGUGAGUUAAGGAUCCAGCGUUGCCGUGAGCUGUGGCAUAGGUCACAGAUGCAGCUCAGAUCCUGCAUUGCUGUGGAUGUGAUGGAGGCUGGCAAGUGCAGCUCCUAUUGGACCCCUAGCCUGGGAACUUCCAUAUGCCGUGGGUGCAGCCUUAAAAAGCAAAAAACAAAACAAAACAAAACAAUACACCAAAAAAUAUUUUCCUGCUUUGGGAAGGUCUUCUUUAAUGAUGCUGAGAAGGAGAAUAAUAUAAUCUACAACUUAAAUUAAGAAGUUAGAGCAAUUAAGCUUCAUCUAGUGAAAGCCAAGCAUGUCUUUGCAAUAAAGAGGUAGCUAAGCACAGGAGAUACUUCGGUGGACAUAAAGGUCUUAACCUAGCUACGUAUCUUAAUUAUUUUUCUGAUGGAUCUAGGAAUUUUUCUUUUAAUAUGCCUGGUUCCUAGUAAAAAUAAAUAAGUUGGCUGGCCUGCAAGAUGGCUUUUUUUAAUCAGAAUGGACAAAGUCUUGUGCUUUGUGCUGUGUGCUUAAACAUAAUGAUAGAUAUUCAAAGUUCAAAUUCUCAGUGGAUCUCUGGACCGAAAGUUUUGUAAGAAAUCAAGGAAGAAGGACCACCACGCGCUAUAUCUAUUUCCUCUUGAAAAACAAUUUCUAGAUAUUGCCAGAGACCAAAGUUGUGAGUCAAAAUGUUUCUGUCGGUUUCCAUGUGGACACGGCCUGGUGCCCAUCACACCACACACGCUACCUGGAACUCAGACCUGGAAACUUGAAGAAUUGUCUGGAUUCCCUGGCAACAGGGCCUCAGGCAUCUCCUAGCCAGUGGGUCCUACGAAAGAGAUAAGCCACUUCAGCAAACUUGUCUCUCUCUAGCACUGGAAUGCAUCCAAAGGAAACACGAAAGACUCUGACAUCAGAAAACACCUGUUGACUUUGGAGCGCCCGUAUCAACAGCAGUAAAACACAGAGCAGAUGUGAGCCUGCUCUGGGGGGGUACGUGGAAUGUCAAGUAUGAAAAAAAUCAAGAGGAAAGGGAUAGGCACUUCCAAAUUCUUCUGCCUCUCUGUAAACAUGCCAUUAAUUAGGUUAAUUUUCUUAAAAUGUGGCCUCAAAAACCAUUCUAAGGUGGUCGCUUCAGGUUUCCAUUCCUAUAAAUCAAAGUCUGGUGAUAGAUAGUUUAAACGAUCAAUAGGUGUAUAAACUCAACUCUAACUUUGGCCUGAAAUGUUCAUAGUAACUAUCCGUUCCUUUUAAAAAUUUCUUUACAAUUAAUGUAUAGUUGAUUUAAAAUGUUGUGCCGGUUUCUUUGGGAGUUCCCAUUGGGCUCAGCGGUAAUGAAUCUGACUAGUAUCCCUGAGGAUGCAGGUCCCACUCCUGGCCUCAGUCAGUGGGUUAAGGAUCCUAUGUUGCUGUGGCUGUGGCUUUUGCUCCUAUUCAACGCCUAGCCUGGGAACUUCCAUAUGCUCUACCUGCAGCCCUAAAAAACAAAAAAUAAAAACAAAAA